UACGUAGGUGGCGAGCGUUGUCCGGAUUUACUGGGCGUAAAGAGCGCGCAGGCGGCUGGUCAAGUCCGAUGUGAAAGCUCCCGGCUUAACUGGGAAAUUGCAUCGGAAACUGAUCGGCUGGAAGGUGGGAGAGGGUAGCGGAAUUCCCGGUGUAGUGGUGAAAUGCGUAGAUAUCGGGAGGAACACCAGUGGCGAAAGCGGCUACCUGGCCCAUUCUUGACGC
rnacentral:rRNA from 1 species